CACUGUGUUCUGUCCUGUUUUCCCUUCUCUGUUUUCAGAGGGAAGGAUGUGUAUUAACAGCAGACCAGAAGGAGUGCCCAUCUGUAAGGGCAGCUGGGAGGCGAAGUCAGUGUGGUAUUGCCUUACAGGCUGUAGGGUAUGAGUGAGAGGUUGCUAAUGUGCAAAUGGGUGGGUUUUGUCCUCUUAUGAGUCUUUUUACAGAAUCACGGCUCUUACAGCAAAGUUUUUGGCUCAGAUGUGUUGCAGGCCCCUUGCUUUUUCACUACCUGUGAGUGACCUCCUGAAAAUACAUUAGUGGCUAGACAAUGGAAAUAACAUGGAAAAUACAAUAGAUUGUAAUUUUUACUCCAGUUAGAAGGGCUGAAUAUCCAUUUAGAAUCUCAAGGGAGCCCAAAAGUCCGGUAGAUUUUUCUUCAGAUGGUGCCAGGUUUUAAUUUGCUUUUCUACAGUAUGUUUUUUUGUUGGUGUGAAUGAUUUCCUUGGCAUCUUUCCUCUGAAAGUAAGGACUCUGCUUGCCAGUAAGUGCUUAGAGUGUAUGUGGGUUAAGACUGAGUCAGACCGACUUGCUGGAAAUUCAGCUUGGGUUGUGGUGUAGCAUUUGUUUGCAGAGCUCCUCAGGAAGUCCCUGUCACUACCUGCGCAUUUCCACUCCUCACAGCAAAAUCCUUAUUGUGCUACAAUGAGGUGUUCAGAGCAGAGACCCAGCGUUUAGAAAUAACAAGGACAGAAAGUCACACGGUGAGUUACACUGUUAGAUGAGAGGCAAAUAUGCUGUGGAAGGUAAUGAAGUUAGAGGUCACUACCCUGUGCCGUAUAGGUCAGAGGGGAUGGGGGUUGUAUUUUGAAC